AGAGCAAGUCCCUCCUCCAAACACUUUCUGCAAACAGCUAGUAGCACAAGCACUGUGUAGUUUCUUAAUUAGAAAUGUCAGAACAGGUUUACCUUUCCAGCAGAUCUGAGUGUGAAGAAGUGUCUGGAGGAGCAGCAGAAUAAAGGAUGUGUCUGAGCACCCAGUCAACAGAAGCAGAGCUAUGGGAUGGUGGACAUCUGCUCAUGGACAGGCUGAAAAGCAUAACCACUGCUGGACAUUGCUCUGGGACUCGGGGGGGACCCGAACCAUCCUCACCCCUUCUUUCACACACCAUUCACUCAUAUCACAGAGAUCCAGCUGGGAUUGAACCAGCAACCUCUGAACCAUGAGGCAGUGCUCCUACCAGUGAGCCACAGAUCUCUUGUUGGGACAUGUGAAGGAACUUAUAUUUCACUAUUAACAUUUAAUUUUACAAUAAACCAGUUAAAGUUUUCAA